AUCUGCAGCCAUACCCUGAAUGCGCCUGAUGCGUAACUUCAUGAAGCUAAGCAGGGUCAGGCCUGGUUAGUAUUUGGAUGGGAGACCACCUGGAAAUACCAGGUGCUGGAGGCU
rnacentral:rRNA from 1 species